rnacentral:rRNA from 1 species
GACAGAGGGUGCAAACGUUGCUCGGAAUUACUGGGCGUAAAGCGCGUGUAGGCGGUUACGCGAGUCAGGUGUGAAAGCCCAGGGCUCAACCCUGGAAGUGCACCCGAAACUGCCCAGCUUGAGUCUCGGAGAGGAAGGCGGAAUGCUUGGUGUAGAGGUGAAAUUCGUAGAUAUCAAGCGGAACACCGGUGGCGAAGGCGGCCUUCUGGACGAUGACUGACGCUUGAGACGCGAAAGCGUGGGGGAGCAAACAGG